rnacentral:lncRNA from 1 species
CUCAGUAGCCACUGUGAGUUAGUAGCUUUAUUAUUGGUAAAUGUAGACUGUAGAACAUUUUUGUUACCGCAGAAAGUCCUAUUGGAUGGUCUGUUUGGCAAGUAGUGACAGUCAUAGAGUUUGAUGUUUAAUCACAGUAACUUUUUAAAGUGCUUGCUAAGCAGCAAGAGAAGCAUCUUACAGCCCUAGUUCAUUUAGUUCCCAUCUCAACUUCUUGAGUUAGACGUUACUGUUCUCCUUGUGUCCGGCAUAGGGGAGGGCUGAGGUUUGGAGGGAUCAGAAUUAGAGUCGAGCCAGGAGUUCUCGGGGAAUCCUCAGGGACACCUCGGAUUUCCUGAGCAUGAGCUCUCCAGGCUGAUUCUCACACUUGUGCUUCCCUUUCCUUCAGGUGUGAAGGGAAUUUCUGGCAGAGCCGGGCUCAGCUGCGAGCCAGCAGAUUGCGCAAGCCAACCUGGGGACCGAGAAGAAGCUGCCCCCCACCUCCACUCGGGCGGGCUCCACGGGGAGUGUCAGUUCCAGGUAUCCUUGGAGGUCUUAGAACGGGGUGGAUAAGGGGCGACCCCUGUACCUCGCUGCCAAGGGAGAAUCAUGCUGAAGAUGUCGAAGUCAGUGAAGCUGCAGAGGUGCCGACUGGAAACCUGCCUAAUUCACACUUAUUGGUGGAGUCAGACCACGUGACAAGUUAACAAGAAAAAUCUGACGAGGGUAGUAAUUCCAAGUGAGUGACUUGGAUGUCUGAAGCUUAAGAAACCCCUGGAAGCUGGGUGCAGCGGUGCACACCUGUACUUCCAGCACUCUGGGAGUCUGAGGCAGGAGGAUCACAAGUUCAAACCCAGCCUGGGCAACUUAGCAACUUAGCAAGACCCUGUCUCAAAAUUAAAAAAGAAAAAGAAGUGGAAGACUGGGAUAUAAGCUCAGUGCAAAGGCCCCGAGUUCAAUCCCGGGUACUGGGAGAUGGGAGUAGUGUGAUAAGUUUUAUGAUGUGUUGCAUGUUUUGGGAAGAAACAAAAUCCCUCCUGAUGAUCUUGCUAUCAAAGUAAAU